rnacentral:rRNA from 1 species
UAACGCGUGGGUAACCUGCCUCAUACAGGGGGAUAACAGUUGGAAACGACUGCUAAUACCGCAUAAGCGCACAGGAUCGCAUGAUCCGGUGUGAAGAACUCCGGUGGUAUGAGAUGGACCCGCGUCUGAUUAGCCAGUUGGCAGGGUAACGGCCUACCAAAGCGACGAUCAGUAGCCGACCUGAGAGGGUGACCGGCCACAUUGGGACUGAGACACGGCCCAAACUCCUACGGGAGGCAGCAGUGGGGAAUAUUGCACAAUGGGGGAAACCCUGAUGCAGCGACGCCGCGUGAGCGAAGAAGUAUUUCGGUAUGUAAAGCUCUAUCAGCAGGGAAGAAGAAUGACGGUACCUGACUAAGAAGCACCGGCUAAAUACGUGCCAGCAGCCGCGGUAAUACGUAUGGUGCAAGCGUUAUCCGGAUUUACUGGGUGUAAAGGGAGCGCAGGCGGUGCGGCAAGUCUGAUGUGAAAGCCCGGGGCUCAACCCCGGUACUGCAUUGGAAACUGUCGUACUAGAGUGUCGGAGGGGUAAGUGGAAUUCCUAGUGUAGCGGUGAAAUGCGUAGAUAUUAGGAGGAACACCAGUGGCGAAGGNGGCUUACUGGACGAUAACUGACGCUGAGGCUCGAAAGCGUGGGGAGCAAACAGGAUUAGNNCCCUGGUAGNCCACGCCGUANACGAUGAAUACUAGGUGU